rnacentral:rRNA from 1 species
GCAGUCGACGGUAGCACAGAGAGCUUGCUCUCGGGUGACGAGUGGCGGACGGGUGAGUAAUGUCUGGGAAACUGCCUGAUGGAGGGGGAUAACUACUGGAAACGGUAGCUAAUACCGCAUAACGUCGCAAGACCAAAGAGGGGGACCUUCGGGCCUCUUGCCAUCGGAUGUGCCCAGAUGGGAUUAGCUAGUAGGUGGGGUAACGGCUCACCUAGGCGACGAUCCCUAGCUGGUCUGAGAGGAUGACCAGCCACACUGGAACUGAGACACGGUCCAGACUCCUACGGGAGGCAGCAGUGGGGAAUAUUGCACAAUGGGCGCAAGCCUGAUGCAGCCAUGCCGCGUGUAUGAAGAAGGCCUUCGGGUUGUAAAGACUUUUCAGCGGGGAGGAAGGGAGUAAAGUUAAUACCUUUGCUCAUUGACGUUACCCGCAGAAGAAGCACCGGCUAACUCCGUGCCAGCAGCCGCGGUAAUACGGAGGGUGCAAGCGUUAAUCGGAAUUACUGGGCGUAAAGCGCACGCAGGCGGUUUGUUAAGUCAGAUGUGAAAUCCCCGGGCUCAACCUGGGAACUGCAUCUGAUACUGGCAAGCUUGAGUCUCGUAGAGGGGGGUAGAAUUCCAGGUGUAGCGGUGAAAUGCGUAGAGAUCUGGAGGAAUACCGGUGGCGAAGGCGGCCCCCUGGACGAAGACUGACGCUC